rnacentral:misc_RNA from 1 species
AAGAGUUGCAAGACUCCCAAACCAUAUGUUUACCUACCCGUUUCGUUGCUUCGGCAGGCGGCCCCUCCGGGGGCCUUCGCCCCCGGGUGCCUGCCGGAGCGUCCUAAACUCUCUGUUGUUUAUGUUCUGUCUGAGUAAAACUUUGAAAUAUCA